rnacentral:lncRNA from 1 species
AAAAUCUAAUCAAGAUAAUUCCUUUGAUUACAAUUCCUCUCUACUAAACUUACAACCUUGCGAUAAACAGUGACUGGAAACUUCCAUACGUUCUCAAUCUUUCACAACAAUUGAUAAACAGUGAUCCAUAAACAACUUCAUAAAUCAAACAUUAAUUCAUUAAAUCGAUUCUCUUUACUAGAAUCAAUACUAACACAAAAGAAACAAGAAAAUUAAGAAGAAGAGAUAGCACCAAGCUUAUCCCUGGCUCAGUACUAUCGUAGUCUGGUCCUCGGCUCACAACUCUCACAGUCUGGCAUUUUCUUCCCCUCUCCCAUCCUCCUUAUACUUCCUUGAGAUAUCAACUCCUAUACUACAGAUGAUAACUACUUUUCCUAACUAUUCAUCCAUUCUACCUGCUGUACCCCCUUUUCAGCAGUUAUCUAUCUCUGUUUAUACUAUACAUUAGAUAUCUACAUUU